UGGGGAAUAUUGGACAAUGGGGGGAACCCUGAUCCAGCCAUGCCGCGUGUGUGAAGAAGGCCUUAUGGUUGUAAAGCACUUUAAGCGAGGAGGAGGGUACUGGUAUUAAUACUACCAGCUACUGGACGUUACUCGCAGAAUAAGCACCGGCUAACUCUGUGCCAGCAGCCGCGGUAAUACAGAGGGUGCGAGCGUUAAUCGGAUUUACUGGGCGUAAAGCGUGCGUAGGCGGCUAAUUGAGUCGGAUGUGAAAUCCCCGAGCUUAACUUGGGAAUUGCAUUCGAUACUGGUUAGCUAGAGUGUGGGAGAGGAUGGUAGAAUUCCAGGUGUAGCGGUGAAACGCGUAGAGAUCUGGAGGAAUACCGAUGGCGAAGGCAGCCAUCUGGCCUAACACUGACGCUGAGGUACGAAAGCAUGGGGAGCAAACAGG
rnacentral:rRNA from 1 species